rnacentral:pre_miRNA from 1 species
UUUGUACUCCCUCCGUCCGGAAAUACUUGUCAUCAAAAUGGAUAAAAGAGGAUGUAUCUAGAUGUAUUUUAGUUCUACAUACAUCUCUUUUUAUCUAUUUUAAUGACAAGUAUUUCGGACGGAGGGAGUACGUA